rnacentral:sRNA from 1 species
UACGAUUAUGACGUACGUGUCUUUGUA